rnacentral:rRNA from 1 species
AUUGAACGCUGGCGGCAUGCCUUACACAUGCAAGUCGAACGGUAACAGGUUAAGCUGACGAGUGGCGAACGGGUGAGUAAUAUAUCGGAACGUGCCCAGUCGUGGGGGAUAACGUAGCGAAAGCUACGCUAAUACCGCAUACGAUCUACGGAUGAAAGCGGGGGAUCGCAAGACCUCGCGCGAUUGGAGCGGCCGAUAUCAGAUUAGGUUGUUGGUGAGGUAAAAGCUCACCAAGCCUGCGAUCUGUAGCUGGUCUGAGAGGACGACCAGCCACACUGGAACUGAGACACGGUCCAGAGUCCUACGGGAGGCAGCAGUGGGGAAUUUUGGACAAUGGACGCAAGUCUAAUCCAGCAAUGCCGCGUGCAGGACGAAGGCCUUCGGGUUGUAAACUGCUUUUGUACGGAACGAAACGGUGAGCUCUAAUACGGUUUGCUAAUGACGGUACCGUAAGAAUAAGCACCGGCUAACUACGUGCCAGCCGCCGCCGUAA